AAUAAGUGUUAUUUGUAUAAAUUGGGUUUAAAUAUAUUUUGUUAUCUAUAUUUACUAAAUAAGCUUAUAAAUUUAUAGAUUUAAUUUUUAGUUGGAAAAUAAUAUUUUUUUUUUUAUAGCAAUAAAAUGCAAACAUUUAAAAAAAAAUUUCUUUUUAAAGAUAAUUAUUUAUUACUAAAAUUAACUAAAUAUGAAAGUAUAAUUAUCAAAAAGGAUUAGAGACCCUUGUAGUUUAUACUGUCAAAUAUGGUAAGCCUUAAAAGAGACUUACUAACCUGGGGAGUACUAUUGCAAAAUAUAAACUUAAAGAAAUUGGCGGGAUUUUAGAUAAAUGGUGGAAUAUGUGGUUUAAUGCGAUAAUCCCCGCAAAAUCUUACUAGUACAUUAAUUAUUAUUAAUAAUAUAAUAUAAUAAAUAACAAUUAAUAGGUAUUGCAUGGCUGUCGUCAGUUCGUGCUUUAAGGCGUAGGAUUAAUUUCUUUUGAACGAACGAAACUCUAAUAUUAUAGAAUAAAGUCAAGUCCUUAUGGUCUGUAUAUACUAGGCUACACACGUAUUACAUUUUUAAAAUAAUAGUUUUUUAUUUUUAAUAAUAAAAAAGUACUAAAAAAUUAAUAUUGAAUUAUUUCUUGUUAUUCAGAAAUAUGAAAUAGGAAUCAUUAGUAAUCGUAAAAUAGUAAGUUACGGUGAAUUUUUAUUAAAAUUUGCACACACCGCCCAUCACGCUCAGAGAAUUUUCUUGCAUUAAAAUUUUAUCAAUAUAUAAUGAUUUUAUAUUGUUACCGUUGACAUGUAUGAAGAUAAUUAGAGUGAAG
rnacentral:rRNA from 1 species